rnacentral:sRNA from 1 species
UUGACAGCACUAGACAAUGAACACUUCUUUUAUCGCCAGAAAGCAAUGGCCUAAGCAGUGUAAACUUCCUCAAACUGUCCUGCCAAUGUGCCUCUCUGACCUAGAGAGGGAUCACCUUUAUGGUGACAGGAUAAUUUGAUCUCUAUACCAUCUAAUCCUUAUUCUCU